UCCUUUCCAUGUCAUUAUUCCGUCCAUCUGUUCCCUGUGGCAUAACUUAUGCUACAAUGUCAAGUUCUGUCUCCAGUGCCUUUAUUUAUGGAGUUCAGUCAAGAUUUAUUUCAUUUUCCGAUUCCCAUUCUUUAUUACUUAUCAUUUAUCAGCCAGGAGACUUGAUACUUUGUCAGAAUACGUCCUGCCAUCUAUUUAUUAGUUUAAUUUUUUAUUUUACCCCUUGUUUCUCCUGUUAUUUCUUGCCUUAAACUCAUUUAUUUAAAUAUUUCUUUUAACUUUCUGCUAGAGAGUCUCUCUUUCGACUACAGUUCACGGCAUUGAUAAUGCCCAAGCUGCAAAUAGGAGGCACAGAUAAAAUUUUUUGAAUAUACAUAUUUCAUUUGCCUUUUGGCCCUUUCCCAGAUUAGGUUGUUUUUGUUUAUAUGGGUCACUUGGGUCAUGCAUUUCCUCCAGAAUUUACCCUUUAUUCUUUUUUCUUGUGUCACUUUAUAUCUUUGUUGGGUGGUUUUUCUUUUUAAUUUUAGUAAUGGAAUGCUUCUAUUACUGGUUCCUGAAGUAGGUACUUGUUAUACACUUAUAUAUUUAUUUGACAAGUAAAUGUAAAAGAAAACCACUAGAAGUGAUGAACCAUAUACAAAAUAGUGAUGUUAGAAAUCCUAAUUACACGAGUAGCUUGUUCCCAAAUGCAAAAAAGACUAAGAAUGUAAGAAUGGAUGUACCAAAGAAGAGGACCAUGAAUGGUUAGCCUAGGAAAAAAGUUAAAUCUCUCAACACUCUUGAAGGCUUCCAUACAUCUUCCAUGCCUAGUGUCCCUCUUGAUCUGAAGAAGACUUAUCCUUCAGACAUGAUUAUCUUCGAAGUCGAGUAAGACUAGCUCCAUGAAUUCAAAAAAUUGAUCAUAGAUGUUGGCAUCAAACUGCUAUGCAUCAUGAAUAGAUAACAAAAGACUUGAAAUAUUGCUUAACUCUAGAUAGUGAAAAGCAAAUGAUCAUUGACUCCUAACUCCUUUUACACCUAUGGCACUAAUUAACUACAGCAUGAUUUUUUUGCCUAGAUUAAUAGAAAAAAUAGAAUCAAGGAAGGCUGUCUAAGAAAAAAAAAAAAAAAAAAAAGGUCAUCUUGGGUGGAGGUUGGUUGCGAUGUCCACAAGGACUUACCAAAUUUGCCUU